AGAGUUUGAUCCUGGCUCAGGACGAACGCUGGCGGCGUGCUUAACACAUGCAAGUCGAACGGUAAGGUCCCUUGGGGGGAACACGAGUGGGGAAAGGGUGAGUAACACGUGAGCAACCUGCCCUUGACUCCCGGAUAACAGUUGGAAACAGCUGCUAAUACCGGAUACGACCUUCGAUGAAUCAUCUGGAGGUGGAAAGCGCUUUAUCGGACAAGGAUGGGCUCGCGGCCUAUCAUCUUGUUGGUGAGGUAACGGCUCACCAAGGCUUCGACGGGUAGUCGGCCUGAGAGGGCGACCGGGCCCACUGGGACUGAGAUACGGCCCAGACUCCUACUGGAGGCAGCAGUGGGGAAUAUUGCACAAUGGGCGCAAGCCUGAUGCAGCAACGCCGCGUGCGGGAUGACUGCCUUCGGGUUGUAAACCGCUUUCACUUCCGACGAAGCGCAAGAGACGGUAGGAACAGAAGAAGGCCCGGCCAAAUACGUGCCAGCAGCCGCGGUAAU
rnacentral:rRNA from 1 species